rnacentral:rRNA from 1 species
UGGGGAAUAUUGCGCAAUGGAGGAAACUCUGACGCAGCAACGCCGCGUGGGUGAUGAAGGCCUUCGGGUCGUAAAGCCCUGUUGGGUGGGAAGAAUUUGACGGUACCACCUGAGGAAGCACCGGCUAACUCCGUGCCAGCAGCCGCGGUAAUACGGAGGGUGCAAACGUUGUUCGGAAUCAUUGGGCGUAAAGCGCGCGUAGGCGGCCAGUUAGGUCGGGUGUGAAAUCCCGGGGCUCAACCUCGGAACUGCGCUCGAAACCGGCUGGCUUGAGUCCCAGAGGGAGAAGUGGAAUUCCUGGUGUAGGGGUGAAAUCCGUAGAUAUCAGGAGGAACACCAGUGGCGAAGGCGACUUCUUGGCUGAGGACUGACGCUGAGGUGCGAAAGCGUGGGUAGCAAACAGG